rnacentral:rRNA from 1 species
GGGGAAUAUUGCACAAUGGGGGAAACCCUGAUGCAGCGACCCCGCGUGGAGGAAGAAGGUCUUCGGAUUGUAAACUCCUGUUGUUGGGGAAGAUAAUGACGGUACCCAACAAGGAAGUGACGGCUAACUACGUGCCAGCAGCCGCGGUAAAACGUAGGUCACAAGCGUUGUCCGGAAUUACUGGGUGUAAAGGGAGCGCAGGCGGGAAGACAAGUUGGAAGUGAAAUCUAUGGGCUCAACCCAUAAACUGCUUUCAAAACUGUUUUUCUUGAGUAGUGCAGAGGUAGGCGGAAUUCCCGGUGUAGCGGUGGAAUGCGUAGAUAUCGGGAGGAACACCAGUGGCGAAGGCGGCCUACUGGGCACCAACUGACGCUGAGGCUCGAAAGUGUGGGUAGCAAACAGGAUUAGAUACCCUGGUAGUCCACACCGUAAACGAUGAUUACUAGGUGUUGGGAGAUUGACCCUCUCAGUGCCGCAGUUAACACAAUAAGUAAUCCACCUGGGGAGUACGACCGCAAGGUUGAAACUCAAAGGAAUUGACGGGGGCCCGCACAAGCAGUGGAGUAUGUGGUUUAAUUCGACGCAACGCGAAGAACCUUACCAAGUCUUGACAUCCCUUGACGAUGCUGGAAACAGUAUUUCUCUUCGGAGCAAGGAGACAGGUGGUGCAUGGUUGUCGUCAGCUCGUGUCGUGAGAUGUUGGGUUAAGUCCCGCAACGAGCGCAACCCUUAUGGUCAGUUACUACGCAAGAGGACUCUGGCCAGACUGCCGUUGACAAAACGGAGGAAGGUGGGGAUGACGUCAAAUCAUCAUGCCCUUUAUGACUUGGGCUACACACGUACUACAAUGGCGUUAAACAAAGAGAAGCAAGACCGCGAGGGGGAGCAAAACUCAGAAACAACGUCCCAGUUCGGACUGCAGGCUGCAACUCGCCUGCACGAAGUCGGAAUUGCUAGUAAUCGUGGAUCAGCAUGCCACGGUGAAUACGUUCCCG